rnacentral:rRNA from 1 species
UACGUAGGGACCAAGCGUUGUUCGGAUUUACUGGGCGUAAAGGGCGCGUAGGCGGCAAUUCAAGUCAGCUGUGAAAUCUCCGGGCUUAACUCGGAACGGUCAGCUGAUACUGCUUUGCUAGAGUGCAGAAGGGGCAAUCGGAAUUCUUGGUGUAGCGGUGAAAUGCGUAGAUAUCAAGAGGAACACCUGAGGUGAAGACGGGUUGCUGGGCUGACACUGGCGCUGAGGCGCGAAAGCUAGGGUAGCAAACGGG